CCCUCGCCAACAAAAAAAGUGAGACAGUCACAAAUCCUUUCAAACCAAAUAAACAAACGUCACAUGAUUUGUUCCAUAAAAAAAAACUCUAAAAAAGAAAAAGGGAGAAGAAGCCCGCUAAGUCGAAACUUGAAAGCAAGUGGCUUAGGCAAAAACUAGGGUAUCUCGUUGGACUGUAAGCACACAAAAAAUCAGUCCAGGCAAAAUUAGGGAAGUUGAAAAAAAAACAAAAAAACAAAAGAGGAAUCAAAAACAAAAAAUCCUCAGCAAGAACAAAGUCGUGUGACUGCAAACACAAAAAUAGGAAGGCAAGUGACUGUCACUCCUAAAACCUUG
rnacentral:lncRNA from 1 species